UGGAAAUUUGACAACAUCUUACUAUUACUGCUCCUGUGAGGAAAGAAUUAACAACUGCAUCAAAGGAAAAAACAAACAAAAAAGAAAAAAAAGUUGCUAUUCAGUGGAGAACAAAUGGAUCUUGGGAAAGAAUGUUAAUAAUCAAACAAAAAAUAAACUGGACUCAUUUCGAUUGGCAGAUGUUUCAAAGCCCUAGAAAAGUGACUGAAAAGGCUUGCAGAAUAGACAAUGUUGUAAAAGAAAGCGAAGAAGGAGAAAACUUGGAACUCUGGGGUAUUUUAUUCGAUGAAAAUAAAUAAAUAUAAGUAGGUGAAUGAAUUAAUCAAUUAACAUAUGAACAAAUAAAUGAAAUGACAAAUGG